rnacentral:lncRNA from 1 species
CGUAAACUAGAGCGGUUUGCGGAUGAAUUUCUGCUAAACCUUUUCAAAAAUGAAAAACAAUGUUCAUAGUAUGUUUCUUAAACCCUAUUCAUGGGUAGAGCCAGAGCCAAAUUUAAAUAAUUUGGAAGAGAGUUGUUAUGUGAAUUUUUUAUCAGUACAGAUUACUUCACAACUUUUGAUUCGUUGUAGAAGUGUUAUGUAAAGAGAAUACUUAUAUUCUUUCAGCUUAUAUAUAUAAUUGCUAUUACUUGCUGGGCACUCAAAUGCUCAUCCUUGCUUAAAUUAAAUGUUUUCAGUUAUGUAUGAGCAACCUGAAGGCUCAGGCACGAACAAGGGGAAAGGAAAGCUGUUCGAAUGAGUUUAUAUUAUGAGUUAAUGGUUAUAGUUAGUAAGACAAUGGAAUCUAUUGUCAGAUAUUGUAAGGAAUGUAUUUGAAGGUCACGUACCUGGGGAAAGUAAACUUUGAUGUAUGUAAAUUAAGUUCG